AUUGCUGCAGGUUUUUUUUUUAAUUAAAGACUAUGAACUGCAUUAGGAAUUUCCCUGAAUAUUGGAGAAAAAAAAGAGGCCUUACUGAAAAUUUGUGCUCCUAGAAGUAAUUUUUUUUUCUCUCAUGGUUUCCUGGAAGGUAGAUCGAACUGUCAGUCUGCCGUUCCCAAAGUGGAUCUGUUUUAUGGGGAAAAAUAAGAUACUUGCAGCUUUUUCAAGUAAUACUACAAAGUCAGUGGUGCUGCAACCUUUCAGGGAGAACUCAUUCGCUGUUCAAAUCAGUUUAUUUUCAGAAUGAUUUGCUGCUCUUACACUUUCUUUUGUAGCUGCUCUUCCAGAAUGCAAAUACAACCUGGAGAGUUUUCUGUAUUUAAUUGAAUGUGUCAGGUGGUUGAAAUCAUGUUUUAAAACCAGCAUUACAUACUGCAAAUGUGUCAAACCCUUUGUUCACAUUUAUUUAAAACAAAUGUAUUUUUCAGUAUUUAUUUAUUUAUUCUCUCUGUUUACACUUCACACAGAUGGAAAAGCUAAACCAGUGGGUUUAAUUUUUGCUAUAAUAUUGCCUUUUACAUUUUUAGGUUCUCAUAUCCUGGCAAGAUGCUACAAACCCCACAUGACAAAGAUCAGAAGGAAAUACUUAUUUGAAGAAAGCUCUGUCAUUAGCUGUGCUGAGAUACUUCAAGAGGAAAAAAAGCUAUAAAUUGAAGCAACAAAUUGUGAGCAUCUGUGUGCACAUCCCUUUGCAUCCUGGUACCACUGCUGGCACACGGCUCUCAGGAGGAGUUCAGUGAUGGUGACAAAAUUCAAUUUCAAUGUCCCU
rnacentral:lncRNA from 1 species